GCAAGUCGAGCGCGAAAGCCUUUCGGGGUGAGUAGAGCGGCGGACGGGUGAGUAACGCGUAGGAAUCUACCUGGUAGUGGGGGACAACUUGGGGAAACUCAAGCUAAUACCGCAUACGCCCUAAGGGGGAAAGUGGGGGAUCUUCGGACCUCACGCUAUCGGAUGAGCCUGCGUAGGAUUAGCUAGUUGGUGGGGUAAAGGCUCACCAAGGCGACGAUCCCUAGCUGGUUUGAGAGGAUGAUC
rnacentral:rRNA from 1 species